CUUGUUACACCGCAUGGAUGAACUCGACGUGGGAAAACGGGAAUCAAGAAAAUUGGAUAGGGUACUGCUGAACAACAAUUAGGACUGGUCCUUUUAAUUAUUGCUUUGGAGGGUCAGAAUCUGUUAGCAUGUCAGGAAGAAGACCUGCCAAGCUUUUGGUGAUUGUGGGUCAAGAUGAUUCAAGAAAGUUGCUUCUGCCAGAUGGGAUUCCCAAAUCAGUGGAUGAGCUCAGUGAAAAAGUGAGGGAAGCUUUUGGAUUAAAUUGUAGAUUCAGACUACAGUAUCAGGACAAAGAUUUUGGGGAUGUAUUUGUAAAUUUGAUGAACACUGUAGAACUUCAGAGUCUUGGCACUCUAAAGAUUAUCCCAUUGCAAGACGAAGACUCAUUCACUGCUCAAACAAAUGAUGGGACCCAGACUAAUGAUGAUGCUCUGUCCUCCGUUGGCUCUGUCGACACUGAUGAUACAAUC